rnacentral:rRNA from 1 species
UACGUAGGUCCCGAGCGUUGUCCGGAUUUAUUGGGCGUAAAGCGAGCGCAGGUGGUUUAAUAAGUCUGAUGUAAAGGGCAGUGGCUCAACCAUUGUGUGCAUUGGAAACUGUUAGACUUGAGUGCAGUAGAGGAGAGUGGAAUUCCAUGUGUAGCGGUGAAAUGCGUAGAUAUAUGGAAGAACACCAGAGGCGAAGGCGGCUCUCUGGACUGUAACUGACGCUGAGGCUCGAAAGUGUGGGUAGCAAACAGG